UACAGAGGUCCCAAGCGUUGUUCGGAUUCACUGGGCGUAAAGGGUGCGUAGGUGGCCGGGUAAGUUUGAUGUGAAAGCCCGGAGCUUAACUCCGGAACUGCCUUUAAGACUGCAUCGCUAGAAUCGUGGAGAGGUGAGUGGAAUUCCGAGUGUAGAGGUGAAAUUCGUAGAUAUUCGGAAGAACACCAGUGGCGAAGGCGACUCACUGGACACGUAUUGACGCUGAGGUGCGAAAGCGUGGGGAGCAAACAGG
rnacentral:rRNA from 1 species